GACGAACGCUGGCGGCGUGCUUAACACAUGCAAGUCGAACGGAAAGGCCCUGCUUUUGUGGGGUGCUCGAGUGGCGAACGGGUGAGUAACACGUGAGUAACCUGCCCUUGACUUUGGGAUAACUUCAGGAAACUGGGGCUAAUACCGGAUAGGAGCUCCUGCUGCAUGGUGGGGGUUGGAAAGUUUCGGCGGUUGGGGAUGGACUCGCGGCUUAUCAGCUUGUUGGUGGGGUAGUGGCUUACCAAGGCUUUGACGGGUAGCCGGCCUGAGAGGGUGACCGGCCACAUUGGGACUGAGAUACGGCGCAGACUCCUACGGGAGGCAGCAGUGGGGAAUAUGGCACAAUGGGCGGAAGCCUGAUGCAGCAACGCCGCGUGCGGGAUGACGGCCUUCGGGUUGUAAACCGCUUUCGCCUGUGACGAAGCGUGAGUGACGGUAAUGGGUAAAGAAGCACCGGCUAACUACGUG
rnacentral:rRNA from 1 species